CCUACGGGUGGCAGCAGUGAGGAAUAUUGGUCAAUGGGCGGGAGCCUGAACCAGCCAAGCCGCGUGAGGGAAGAAGGUACAGCGUAUCGUAAACCUCUUUUGUCAUGGAACAAAGGCGGGGACUAGUCCCCGGAUGAGGGUACCUGAAGAAAAAGCAUCGGCUAACUCCGUGCCAGCAGCCGCGGUAAUACGGAGGAUGCGAGCGUUAUCCGGAUUUAUUGGGUUUAAAGGGUGCGCAGGCGGUCUGUUAAGUCAGCGGUCAAAGCCCGGGGCUCAACCCCGGCCCGCCGUUGAAACUGGCAGUCUCGAGUUGGAGAGAAGUAUGCGGAAUGCGCGGUGUAGCGGUGAAAUGCAUAGAUAUCGCGCAGAACUCCGAUUGCGAAGGCAGCAUGCCGGCUCCACACUGACGCUGAGGCACGAAAGCGUGGGUAUCGAACAGGAUUAGAUACCCCAGUAGUC
rnacentral:rRNA from 1 species